CGUAGGGUGCAAGCGUUAAUCGGAAUUACUGGGCGUAAAGCGUGCGCAGGCGGUUUUGUAAGACAGGCGUGUAAUCCCCGGGCUCAACCUGGGAAUUGCGCUUGUGACUGCAAAGCUGGAGUGCGGCAGAGGGGGAUGGAAUUCCGCGUGUAGCAGUGAAAUGCGUAGAUAUGCGGAGGAACACCGAUGGCGAAGGCAAUCCCCUGGGCCUGCACUGACGCUCAUGCACGAAAGCGUGGGGAGCAAACAGGAUUAGAUACCCUGGUAGUCUACGCCCUAAACGAUGUCAACUGGUUGUUGGGUCUCUUCUGACUCAGUAACGAAGCUAACGCGUGAAGUUGACCGCCUGGGGAGUACGGCCGCAAGGUUG
rnacentral:rRNA from 1 species